rnacentral:rRNA from 1 species
UACGGAGGGAGCUAGCGUUAUUCGGAAUCACUGGGCGUAAAGCGCACGUAGGCGGCUUCUCAAGUCAGGGGUGAAAUCCUGGAGCUCAACUCCAGAACUGCCUUUGAUACUGAGGGGCUCGAGUCCGGGAGAGGUGAGUGGAACUGCGAGUGUAGAGGUGAAAUUCGUAGAUAUUCGCAAGAACACCAGUGGCGAAGGCGGCUCACUGGCCCGGUACUGACGCUGAGGUGCGAAAGCGUGGGGAGCAAACAGG